rnacentral:rRNA from 1 species
UUUUUCCUACGGGAGGCAGCAGUGGGGAAUAUUGCACAAUGGGGGAAACCCUGAUGCAGCGACGCCGCGUGAGUGAAGAAGUAAUUCGUUAUGUAAAGCUCUAUCAGCAGGGAAGAAAAUGACGGUACCUGAGUAAGAAGCCCCGGCUAACUACGUGCCAGCAGCCGCGGUAAUACGUAGGGGGCAAGCGUUAUCCGGAUUUACUGGGUGUAAAGGGAGCGUAGAUGGCAGUGCAAGACUGGAGUGAAUGGCGGGGGCGCAACCCCCGGACUGCUCUGGCAACUGAACGGCUGGAGUGCAGGAGG